UACGUAGGGGGCAAGCGUUAUCCGGAAUCACUGGGUGUAAAGGGAGCGCAGGCGGCACGGCAAGCCUGAUGUGAAAGCCCGCGGCCCAACCGCGGGACUGCAUUGGGAACUACCGGGCUGGAGUGCCGGAGAGGUAGGCGGAAUUCCUAGUGUAGCGGUGAAAUGCGUAGAUAUUAGGAGGAACACCAGUGGCGAAGGCGGCCUACUGGACGGCGACUGACGCUGAGGCUCGAAAGCAUGGGGAGCAAACAGG
rnacentral:rRNA from 1 species